GGGGACAAAGAAACCGGUCCCAUAGGGGUCAGUGCAAGGGGGGGGGCUGCUGCAACCCCAGGAACCCCCCCCCAGCGAACGGCACCGGGGCACGGGGUAGGUGACGCCCCAUGUAACCCCACCCAGCCCCCGUAAAACUCCCAUAAUAAGCCCCCCCCCUUCCCAUGCUCCCUACCACUGCGCCCACAGAGCCCCCCCCCAUUCCUGGGGUCGGUGUUGGGUGCUCAGUGGGGACACCCCAUGGCGCACACCCCCAGCGGGGGUUGGGGGGGGGCUUUCCAAGCCUGGGCCCUGCUCCUGACCCAACGUCCCUGCUGUGUCCGUCCUGUUGUGUCCCGUCCCAUCCCCAUCCCAUAAUAACCCACACAUCGGAACCCCAACUCCAUCCCCCCACCCUCUUCUAUUCUCAUCCCAUCCCCAUUGUGUCCCCGUUCCCAUCCCAUCCCAUAUAUUCCAUGUCCCACCCCCAUCCCAUCCCAUCCCAUCCCAUCCCAUCCCAUCCCAUCCCAUCCCAUCCCAUUCCAUCCCAAAUCCCUUCAUCCCAUCCCAAACACUACACGUACCCAUAAAUCCCACCCCCACCUUCUUCCCCACCCCAUCCCAUCCCCAUUCUCACCCUUAUCCUACCCCAUCCUCAUCCCAUAUCCACAUCCACACCCAUAUCCAUCCCAAUCCUGACCCCAAUCCCAAUCCCCACCCCAUCCCAAAUUCAUCUCCUCUCCAUCCCAUCCCCAUCAUCUUUUCCAUUCCCAUCUCACCCCCAUCCCACCCCACCUGCAUCUUCACCCUUAUCUCAUCCCAUCCCCAUGCCAUUCCCGUUCCCAUUCCCAUUCCCAUUCCCAUUCCCAUCCCAUCCCCAUCUCUAUUCCAUCCCAAUCCUAAUCCCAAUCCCAAACCCAUCCCCACCCCAAAUCCCCAUCCCAUUCCAUCCACACCCCAUCCUCAUCCUAUCUUCAUCCUUAUCUCAUUCCAUCCCCAUCCCAUCCCAUCCCAACCCCAUUCCAUCCCAAUCUCAUUCCAAUCCCCAUCCCAUCUACGUGCCACCCCCAUCCUAUUCCAUCCUCAUCCCCAUCUUCAUCCUUAUCUCAUCCCAUCCCCAUCCCAAACCCAUCCCCAUCCCGUCCCAACCCCACUUCCAUUCCCAUUCCCAUCCCCAUCCCCAUCCCAAUCCCAUUCCAAUCCCAUUCCCACUCCAAUCC
rnacentral:lncRNA from 1 species